CCAGAGAUGGAUUGGUGCCUUCGGGAACUCUGAGACAGGUGCUGCAUGGCUGUCGUCAGCUCGUGUUGUGAAAUGUUGGGUUAAGUCCCGCAACGAGCGCAACCCUUAUCCUUUGUUGCCAGCGGUCCGGCCGGGAACUCAAAGGAGACUGCCAGUGAUAAACUGGAGGAAGGUGGGGAUGACGUCAAGUCAUCAUGGCCCUUACGAGUAGGGCUACACACGUGCUACAAUGGCGCAUACAAAGAGAAGCGACCUCGCGAGAGCAAGCGGACCUCAUAAAGUGCGUCGUAGUCCGGAUUGGAGUCUGCAACUCGACUCCAUGAAGUCGGAAUCGCUAGUAAUCGUGGAUCAGAAUGCCACGGUGAAUACGUUCCCGGGCCCUGUACACACCGCCCGUCACACCAUGGGAGUGGGUUGCAAAAGAAGUAGGUAGCUUAACCUUCGGGAGGGCGCUUACCACUUUGUGAUUCAUGACUGGGGUGAAGUCGUAACAAGGUAAGCGUAGUGCU
rnacentral:rRNA from 1 species